CGGAGGGUGCGAGCGUUAAUCGGAAUUACUGGGCGUAAAGCGUGCGCAGGCGGCUCUGUGUGUCGGAUGUGAAAGCCCCGGGCUCAACCUGGGAAUGGCAUUCGAAACUGCAGGGCUAGAGUGUGGUAGAGGAAGAUGGAAUUCCACGUGUAGCGGUGAAAUGCGUAGAUAUGUGGAGGAACACCAAUGGCGAAGGCAGUCUUCUGGGCCAACACUGACGCUGAGGUACGAAAGCGUGGGAGCAAACAGGAUU
rnacentral:rRNA from 1 species